rnacentral:rRNA from 1 species
CGGGGUGCACCAGGCGCGAAAACUUUGCAAUGCGGGAAACCGUGACAAGGGAACUCUGAGUGCCCGUAAAAUCGGGCUGUCCAUCGGUUUAAAAAACCGGUGAAGAAAGGGCCGGGCAAGACCGGUGCCAGCCGCCGCGGUAAUACCGGCGGCUCGAGUGGUGGCCACUAUUACUGGGCUUAAAGCGUUCGUAGCUGGUUUGUUAAGUCUCUGGGGAAAUCUUCCGGCUUAACCGGAAGGCGUCUCAGGGAUACUGGCAGACUAGGGACCGGGAGAGGUGAGAGGUACUCCAGGGGUAGGAGUGAAAUCCUGUAAUCCUUGGGGGACCACCUGUGGCGAAGGCGUCUCACCAGAACGGCUCCGACAGUGAGGGACGAAAGCUGGGGGAGCAAACCGGAUUAGAUAUCCGGGUAGUCCCAGCUGUAAACAAUGCGCGUUAGGUGUAUCAGUGACCACGAGUCACUGAGGUGCCGAAGAGAAAUCGUGAAACGUGCCGCCUGGGAAGUACGGUCGCAAGGCUGAAACUUAAAGGAAUUGGCGGGGGAGCAC